AUGGCAAUUUUUUCAGAGAUGAAAGUCCAAGACAGCGAGUUCAAUUACAAUGUGCAGGUAGAUGAUGAAAGUAGAAUACGUACUCUCAUGUGGACGAAUGGACGUAGCAAAAAACAAUACCACCAUUUUGGCGAUGUGGUGACGUUUGACACCACAUACAAGACUAAUCUAUACGAUAUGCCAUUCGGUAUUUUUGUUGGCAUGAACAACCACUUUCAAAGUGUGUUGUAUGCUGGCGUGCUCAUGCGAGAUGAGACAGUCGACACUUUCAAAUGGAUUUUUGAUGAGUUUGUGAAGAUGAUGGGAGGGAAAAGACCAAUUACCAUUUUAACAGACCAAGCGAGGGCGAUGGAAGUCGCUAUUGAGGACGUAUAUCCGGAUGCAACACACAGAUGGUGCAAGUGGCACAUCCUGAAGAAGGCCAAAGAGAGCCUGGGGUCUAAUUACACCAAGAAAUCUGAUUUCAGGGCAGAAUUCCACAAAUUGGUUCACGAAAUGCUGACUAUAGAGGAGUUUGAGGACGGGUGGGCAGCGUUGCUUGAGAAGUAUUCACUGACUAAGAACACGUACCUGACGCAAAUUUACGAGACAAGGCAGAAAUGGGCCAAGCCAUACUUUGCAGGGAAAUUCCGUGCGAGGCAAACCAGCACUGGGAGGAGUGAGAGUGCCAAUCACAUGUUGAAACAGUAUGUUCCACCUUCUUGCUCAAUGAAUCUGUUUGUCAAGCAGUACAACAAGCUGCAGUUUGACCGUGAACAAGAAGAGGGGUUCCAGGAAAAAUGA
rnacentral:rRNA from 1 species